UCGAGGAUCUUCGGCAAUGGGGGCAACCCUGACCGAGCGACGCCGCGUGGGCGACGAAGGCCUUCGGGUUGUAAAGCCCUGUCGAGGGGGAGAAAAGCGAAAGCGUGAUCGACCCCUGGAGGAAGCACGGGCUAAGUUCGGGCCAGCAGCCGCGGUAAGACGAACCGUGGGAACGUUGUUCGGAAUCACUGGGCUUAAAGGGCGCGUAGGGGGGCGGGCCAGUCCGGGGUGAAAUCCCGCGGCUCAACC
rnacentral:rRNA from 1 species